rnacentral:lncRNA from 1 species
GAGGAAGGGCUGGCUGCUGGGGAACAGCCUCCUGUGUCAGCCUGACAGAAACCGAGUCUGCAAGAGAAGAGAUCUUUCCAACUUCCGACGUCACUUGAAGCUGCAACCUUCCAUUUGGGUUGUCUCGGUCAGGAGAAGGCGGGGUCCUGGCGAGCAGGUCGGCCUUGUCUUUCUCUUUGUAUCCCCAACACUGAACACACCGUGAGUGCCCGAUACAGGUUCUAAUCAGUCAUUCAUUCACUCAUCCACUCGCUUUUCUUUGGGGAGGACGUCAGGCCUUGGGGAUGGCAAGUGCCUCCUGGUCAUGGGGUCAUCACCAAGGUUCCGGGGAGCUGCUAACUGCUCUCCAGGGGGUGGCUGUCUCCCCUCUCCCUUCCCCUAAGAACAAGAAUCAGCGUCCGAACCUUGAGGCCAUCUGGUCCAGACACGAGGAUUUCCAGGCCAUCAAGUGAUUUGCCCAGGGAUACGCAGGAAGUACGCACCUGAGGCAGGACCAGGCCCUCUGAUGCCAAGAACCAGGCAUACGAAUGCUUUACUUCCCCUUGAACCUGGUGAAUGGAAGGUGAUAACAGCUGUGACCCAGGCAAACCUGUUAACCAACUUGCCCCAACUGGAUGAGGCUGAUAAAAAUGUGGCUCUAGAAUACAGCAGGAAGAGUGAGAGCAGCCCCUCUGCCCAUCCCUGGAUGGUGUGGCAUCACACUUGGCACAGAGCACACAGAAGUCAUUCCGGUCUCCUAAAAAUGCACAGGAAUGGAGUUUUAUCUAGUGCGUUGGCCCUUCUCCGUGCUGGCCCUUGGCACUUUGCUGCUACUGGACAGACCUUGGUUCUAAUCAUCAGGACUGACUAAGUGGGAAGGAGCUGCCAGCAAGUCUGAACAGCCCUUUAACGAGGGCCACCCCCUCCAGCAGCUAGAGGCCAGGAGGAAGACUCCGUUUGAUGUCUGACUCCUCUUAAACUUGACCCCCCAGUGCAGCCCUGGGGGCAGGAGCUCCUCAGAGCCAGUAGCCCUGCUUCCCUUGGUAAAUUAAAACUCUUGGCCUCUGUGACCACAUAGAGUUAAACCCUUCAGAGAGGAGAGGAGAGGAGUCCACUCCUUCCUCCCCGGAAGGAUCAGGCGGAGAGGUAAUUAUAAAUGAUUGAUAACCCUAUUUACAUUUUUAUUGAGCUAUAAUUAAACAGAGUGCACUAUUCAUCCCCAUUAUCCCUGCAAAGUGUCUGCAGAAGGAUCCCCUGCAAGAGAAUGCAGAAGUAAUGGACCUGAGUCUCAUCCCUUAUGGACCCUAGGAACUUCUAUGGGCUGUGAAAAGAGAAAGAAAUGGGCCCAGAACACUUUGGAAGCUCCUAACUCAGGACCUUCUGGGAUAUCUGGGCCCAGGCAAGCCCUGGGGGUCCAUAGUCACAGAGCUGUGAAGCAAUAAGAUGCCUGAUCCAUGAAAAUGGGGAAGAUUUGCCCUGCCUGUGCAUGGAAGUGGAGACAGUGGGAGUGGGGGGAGGUCUGGGCAAGUGCCAUGUCUGAAUAGUCAAUCAACUGAUCAAACAUCAAACAAUUUUGAAGCAUCUAUUUUGUGCCAGGCAUUGUGAUAAGUCCUAGGGCUACAAUUUCUGCCCUCCAGGCACCCAUAAUCUGUAGACUCAGGGCUGUCUUUGGCACAGGCCAAUGACCCAAAAAAUGGGGACCUGAGGGCUUCAUCACACAUUAAUUCUGAAUUCCAGGGAUGGGGGAGCAGGAAAAGGAAACAAAUGUCCAGGGACAUUCCAUGGGACUGAAUGCUUAACAAUAAUGAGUAUUUAAUAAAUAUUUGUCUGUUCACUGCUGCA